AUUAUGCUUUAUGGAUAGAGAAUUUUUUUUUAAUAAAACACAAAAUUCAUGAAUGUUAUGUCCAUGAUUAGUUUUUUAAUCUCAAAUCUCAGUUAUUCACUAAUCACUAAACAAUUAUGCAAUUCCAGGCCUAUAACAAAUUGCAAACAGUCAUGGAGAUCUGCUGAUCUGUACAUAAUGAGGAUUGAUGAGCCUGAUACAGAUUCUUCAUAUAUAUUUUCUCAGAGGUCUGCUCUUAAUUUAAUUCUGGAUCCUAUGAUUGUAAAACCAAAGUGUUUUUUCCUGAUCAAUCCAGUCAAAUGUCUUGUGAACUAUAUAGUUUAAUUAAUAUAUUAUUCACAGAUAAUACUGUAUACUUGAGUUAAUGCUCAUAUAAAAUAUGG
rnacentral:lncRNA from 1 species